CAGAAGGCAGAAGUGAAAGAGAGGGUGGAGAUUGCAUGAGAUGAACCUAUGGGCACACUGACGAAGUCACGACUGAUUGUGUGUUUUAAUGUGAGCGAGUGUGACAGCACUUAUGUUAGUUGGAUUUGUGAUUAAACGCUUAGAAAUGAAGCUCUCCUGCCCUCUGAUCUGUGGGAUCAUUUUGUCCUGGAUUUGCUUCAGAGUUUCAAGUGAGAAUCUGUCUGUGAUUCAGAGUCCAUCCAGCAUCACUGUGAAUGAAGGAGAAUCUACUCAAAUCAGCUGCUGCUGGAAUGAAACCAUACAGAAUGUUAAAUUUGCUUGGUACAUUAAUGAGAAAAAACUAAACCAGGAUCUCCAAGAACAUAAAACACAGAACUGUGCAAUUCUGAACCUCACAAACAUACUUAAAAAUGCUUCAGGUCAUUAUGUUUGUGAAGUGACUCAAGACAUACCAGUCCUGCUUCAGAAGAAUGGUAGUGGAACAGUCAUAACUGUCAAUUACAUACUAGUAGAAACGACAACAACUGUCAGUGUUCACACACUUUUCAACCCAGCAGCUGGUAGUUCGCGGGAGGUUGUGAUCAUAUAUAUUUUCAGAAGUCUGCCCUUCAUCUGUCUGCUGGUGGCAUUCUUUUACCUAAACAGGGACAAAAAACAAGUCACAGCAUCAAGACCAGAAAGUCAGGAGUCAGGAGAAAGACCGGAUGAAGACCUGGAGGCCGGAGAGACACAGAGAAGUGAAACUGAAGAGGCGAAACAGGGUGAGAAUGUUUCUGAACAGGAGAAAAGGAGGGUCAACAACCAGAAACCUGAAGUUACUGCAGCAACAGAAGAAGAAAAAGAAAAUGAAGAAAAACAGAUUGAUGUAGUUGUCGACACUGAACAAGUUUCAAGUGAGAAUCUGUCUGUGACUCAGAGUCCACCCAACAUCACUGUGAAUGAAGGAGAAUCUGCUCAAAUCAAAUGCUGCUGGAAUGAAAUCAUACAGAAUGUUAAAGUUGCUUGGUACAUCAAUGAGAAAAAACAAAAGCAGGAUCUCCAAGGACAUAAAACAUGUGCAGUUCUGAACCUCACAAACAUACUUAAAAAUGCUUCAGGUCAUUAUGUUUGUGAAGUGACUCAAGACAUACCAGUCCUGCUUCAGGAGAAUGGUAGUGGAACAGUCAUAACUGUCAGCGACAUACUAUAUAACAAAACAGAGACUGUUUCUAGCCAGCCUCAAACCACUCAGACUGCACACAGUGACACUUCACCUCUAUCUCUGCCUUUGUCUCUGGCUGCUGCCGUCGGCCUGCUGACCCUCUGCUUGGCCUUCAGUGUGUGCAAGAUGAGAAACUCCUGUAAAAAAUCAGAGCGAGUGGUCAUUCACCAGACGCCUAACAGUGAGGGUGAGGAGCAUGAGCACAUGGAAGAAGAGGACGGCAGCACGGGCUCCUCUCGAGGAUCCCUCCAAUGGUAUCAAGUGCCUGUUUACUGGUCUUACUUUGAUCUACAGAGGGGUGAAGACCAGUGACAACCAGAAAGGAAAGACAAACGUGAUGUUCAGUUCACUGGAUUGCAUUUUGCAUUCUCUCCCCUUUCAUGAGAGCAUUUUUGUAAAUAGCAGAAGUGAUUUUAAUCUUCAGAUAGGCUUCUUGAAACCCUCAGUUAAAGCUCUUGAUUGUGCUAGCAGAUGUUAAUCUCUCUGUUUGUAUAGCAGCUCUAUUGAUUUGUUUUUUCUUAUUUUAAUUUCUUUUACAUUUUUUUUAUGAGAGAUUUCUUUAAUUAAAAUGAAGAUGUGUCAUACUGACACGCAUGAAAAACUACUUGGAUUUCAUGCCCAGACAGAUGUAAAAAAGUUUUAUAAUAAAGAGUUUUAUGCUGUACA
ensembl:lncRNA